rnacentral:rRNA from 1 species
CGGAGAGGGCGCAUGAGAAACGGCUACCACUUCUAAGGAAGGCAGCAGGCGCGCAAAUUACCCAAUCCUGACUCAGGGAGAUAGUGACAAGAAAUAACAAUAAACCGGCUUAUGCCGGUUUAAUUGGAAUGAGUACAAUUUAAACAUCUUAACGAGGGACAACUGGAGGGCAAGUCUGGUGCCAGCAGCCGCGGUAAUUCCAGCCCCAAUAGCGUAUACUAAAGUUGUUGCAGUUAAAAAGCUCGUAGUUGGAUUUCUGCGGGGACGGAGCGGCCGGUCGCAACUUGCGACUCGAGCUAGCGCUUUCCCCGCAUCCUGCCGCGAACCGUGCUACCAUUAGUUUGGUGGCGCUGGGGAUCGGCUCGAUUACUUUGAGAAAAAUAGAGUGUUCGAAGCAGGCCACACGCCUUGAAUAAGUUGGCAUGGAAUAAUGACUAAGGACUUUGGUUCUUUUCGUUGGUGUUCGGGACUGAAGUAAUGAUUGAUAGGGACAGUUGGGGCGGUCCGUAUUCCAAAGCGAGAGGUGAAAUUCUUAGACCUUCGGAAGACGAACAGCUGCGAAAGCGUUCCGCAAGGAUGUUCCCUUUGAUCAAGAACGAAAGUUGGGGGAUCGAAGACGAUCAGAUACCGUCGUAGUCUCAACUAUAAACUAUACCAGCUAGGGAUCGGCCAACGUUUAAUUAUUCGACUUGGUCGGCACCUUAUGAGAAAUCAAAGCCUGGGUUCCGGGGGGAGUAUGGUCGCAAGGCUGAAACUUAAAGGAAUUGACGGAAGGGCACCACCAGCCGUGGAGCCUGUGGCUUAAUUUGACUCAACACGGGAAAACUUACCAGGUCCAGACAUAGGAAGGAUUGACAGAUUGAUAGCUCUUUCUUGAUUCUGUGGGUGGUGGUGCAUGGCCGUUUUUAGUUGGUGGAGUGAUUUGUCUGCUUAAUUGCGUUAACGAACGAGACCCCAGCCUGCUAAAUAGCGCGGCCGAGCUUUGCUCGGUGCGAGCUUCUUAGAGGGACCAUGAUGCGCGAUAGCACAAGGAAGUUUGGGGCAACAACAGGUCUGUGAUGCCCUUAGAUGUUCUGGGCCGCACACGGGCUACACUGGCGCCUGCAACGAGCAUAUCAGCUGGCCCGAGAGGGUCUUGGCUAAUCUUUUGAACCGGCGCCGUGCUUGGGAUUGACCUUUGCAAUUGUUGGUCAUGCAACGAGGAAUGCCUUGUAAACGCGAGUCAUCAGCUCGCAUUGAAUACGUCCCUGCCCUUUGUACACACCGCCCGUCGCUCCUACCGAUGAAUGUUCCGAUGAAAUUUUCGGAGAGCGCCAGAGAACGGGGCUCUGCCUUGCAGAUCUGGAGGCUCAAAGUCACUUAAAUCUGAACAUUUCGAGGAAGGAGAAGUCGUAACAAGGUAACC